UAUUAUAUGCACGUCAUGUGUGCAACUUUGUGUGGCUAUCUGCACACGUAUGUACUCGUUCCCAGAAGCAUGCCCUCAACACUGAGAUAUGGGUUCUCACGGCUAAGAAAUAGACCAAAUCUGCAAUGGACUAACCCAGUAUCUUGAAAGAACGAAAGCUGUUUGCAUAUCUAGUUCUUUACACUUAAAAAGGUCACCCCACAUUUUUCAUUUUCCUCAUUUUUUGAAAAUUAAAGCUCAUCCUCAUGUGUCCACAUCGCCAAACCAUCUUCUUAUCUUAUCUUUUUCUAAUUUUCUGUAAGGAACUUGGACUGCUUAUAAAGUUACAAGUACCAUCAAAUAAAAAUUGACUGCAGCAAUUGGAGUUUGCAAGCCAGCGAUCUGACUAAUAUUCACUGUGUGGGUGAGCUCAGAAGACAGCCUUGUCCACCUUGUCCCCGUGUUGUCGCAGCUACAUGCACAGAGAUGGGUUAUAGGGGACCCCCGAUUCGGCCUUUGCCUCCAAAUUCAGGACUCUGGUGGGCUGAAAUGAGCCUAAGUUUGGUUAGGAAGGGCGUCCCUGGACAGUGAUGGUUCAGUACUUGAACAAAAACUUUGAUUAAGAAAAGCUCGGGGGAUAUUACCUGUCGUUUCCAAUCAGAUUAAGAAGUCCACACCGCACCAGAUUCUUGGAUCAUAUUUUCGUUCAUGCAAA
rnacentral:lncRNA from 1 species